AUUGAACGCUGGCGGCGGGCCUAACACAUGCAAGUCGAACGAGUGGCGGACGGGUGAGUAAUGUCUGGGAACCUGCCUGAUGGAGGGGGAUAACUACUGGAACCGGUAGCUAAUCCCGCAUACCAUCGGAUGUGCCCAGAUGGGAUUAGCUAGUAGGUGGGGUAAAGGCUCACCUAGGCGACGAUCCCUAGCUGGUCUGAGAGGAUGACCAGCCACACUGGAACUGAGACACGGUCCAGACUCUUACGGGAGGCAGCAGUGGGGAAUAUUGCACAAUGGGCGCAAGCCUGAUGCAGCCAUGCCGCGUGUAUGAAGAAGGCCUUCGGGUUGUAAAGUACGUUCAGAGGGGAGGCGUUACCCGCAGAAGAAGCAACGGCUAACUCCGUGCCAGCAGCCGCGGUAAUUC
rnacentral:rRNA from 1 species